rnacentral:rRNA from 1 species
AUUGAACGCUGGCGGCAGGCCUAACACAAGCAAGUCGAACGAGAGGCGGACGGGUGAGUAAUGUCUGGGAAACUGCCCGAUGGAGGGGGAUGACUACUGGAAACGGUAGCUAAUACCGCAUACCAUCGGAUGUGCCCAGAUGGGAUUAGCUAGUAGGUGGGGUAAUGGCUCACCUCGGCGACGAUCCCUAGCUGGUCUGAGAGGAGGAACCGCCACACUGGACCUGAGACACGGUCCAGACUCCUACGGGAGGCAGCAGGGGGGAAUGUUGCACAAUGGGCGGAAGCCUGAUGCAGCCAUGCCGCGUGUAUGAAGAAGGCCUGCGGGUUGUAAAGUACUUUCAGCGAGGAGGCGUUACUCGCAGAAGAAGCACCGGCUAACUACGUGCCAGCAGCCGCGGUAAUUC